GAAGUGCCCAAAGUGGCAAGUCGGACUCGCCAGUAGACAUGUCACAGAAGUAAUGUACUGUAAUGCUAACUUCAGUGCAGUUCGGCGGUGAGUGGUCAAAAAAGUGUCUGAAAAUCGGAAAGGGACAUUUUCACAACUGAAACCACGCAUAAGUAGCUUCUGUCACGAUUUGGACGAAUCGGUUUGACGUUCCAGGUUAUUUUUCUUUUCGAAAACAAGUGCUUAGCUGGCUAGCUCGGAAGCUCCAGGGAAGUCACGUCAGAGCUUGUUUCACAGCCAUGUCCACGGCCGGAGACUUUGGAAACCCACUAAGGAAAUUUAAAUUAGUCUUCCUUGGGGAACAGAGUGUGGGGAAGACCUCGCUGAUCACUAGGUUCAUGUAUGACAGCUUCGACAACACAUACCAAGCCACAAUAGGAAUCGACUUCCUGUCGAAAACCAUGUAUCUCGAGGACAGAACAAUCAGAUUGCAGUUGUGGGACACAGCAGGCCAGGAGCGAUUUCGGAGCCUCAUCCCAAGUUACAUCAGAGACUCUGCAGCCGCUGUCGUAGUGUACGACAUCACAAACGUGAACUCCUUCCAGCAAACCACAAAAUGGAUUGAUGACGUGAGAACGGAGCGAGGAAGUGAUGUCAUCAUCAUGUUGGUGGGCAACAAGACCGAUCUUGCAGACAAAAGGCAAGUAUCUAUUGAGGAGGGAGAGCGGAAAGCCAAAGAACUAAAUGUAAUGUUUAUUGAGACUAGUGCAAAAGCUGGCUACAAUGUCAAACAGACAGAUUACCACAGAGGAGGGAGAGCAAAGAGCAAAAGAGAUGAAUGUUCUGUAUAUUGAAACCAGUGCAAAGACAGGCUACAAUGUCAAACAGCUCUUCCGUCGCGUGGCGGCCGCCCUCCCUGGAAUGGACACCACACAGGACAAAAAUAGAGAGGACAUGAUCGACAUCAAGCUGGAGAAGCCGGCAGAGCCGCCUGCCAACGAAGGCGGUUGUGCCUGCUAGUUUCCUUACGUCACUGGGAAAACGGUUCUCUGACUGGGCUUGUUUGUCUCUAUCUGUACUCUUCACUACAUCGGCCUCUUCCCCCAACCCCAAGGAAAAGGGAGACCUUCGCUCUCGUCCGGCAGCCAUUAAAGUCUUGGAUCGAUAUUUGCACUGCUCCACACAAACAUGGAAACUGUAUUCGCAGCUUGAGCUUGAAUGGCUUCACCGAGCUCCGGUCAUGUUCGGAUGCAAAUGGUGGUAGAAGCAGAAUGAGACACAGUGGCAGUCGUUUGUGUAAACGUUACUUUUGGAACCAAACGGCAAACGUGUAUGAAGGCACCAAAUGGACUUAGCAUGUUAUAUCUCAACUCAACUCAAAUGUAUAUAGAGCACUUUGAAACAGCCAUCACUGCACACAAAGUGCUGGACGUGGAGCAACUAACAUACAACAGUAAAGCAAAACAACAAGUCUAUAUAUAAAUAAAUAAAAAGCAUUGCAUUAACAGUGUCAAGUGCAAUGUGGAUCUGUUAACCUCACUUUGCACGGAUUCGUACAUCAUUUUGUGUUAUCCGGAAACUACCGUUAUGUAACGUGGAAAUGGUUGCACUAAAAGCAAACAGGCAUUAUCAUGGCGAGAGCUCUGUGUCGACACAGACUGAAACUCACAAACAGGCGCGACAUGUCAGAACGACCUUUACCAGCAAGGUCACCCAUCUCCCAGCAUGUCGUGAAAAAGCAUGACGCCCGCAGGGGCCGACACCACACCUUCCCUUUGACCGUCCACAUGCAUACUCCUGUUGUUUUCUUGCCUUCCGUUUUCUACCCUCUUUAUUUUGAUUUUUUUUUUCAAUUGUAAGAAUAUCAUUUAGCAAUUUGUUUGAUAGUGUGUGAUGAAGAUUUCCUGAUAUAUACAGUCGUUUUCAAGAAAACACUAAAAAUUACGAAUGGAGAUCCAGCGUGCAUUUUAAUGUAGAACGAGGGCUACCUUUCUAGUUUGGUUGAUUAAAAAGUUGUUUUUGUUUUGUUUUGUUUGGGUGUUGAUAUUGCCAUUAGUGAUUUAUCUGGAUGGAUGGACUUGUAUUUAUUUCUACUGGAUUCAUUGUUCUUUUUUAUGUUUCUUAAUUUCUUCAGUCUUGAUAUGAGUCCUCAAUUGCUAAUAAAAUAUCCAUAUAUCUUGAGCACUGUUCGCAGAUGAACACGUGCCUGUCAAGGGCGAUCCGUCUACCACUGCUAAAUCGUUGGUAAAUCAUGCAAUUUUCAUUGUGCAAUUAUAGCUUGUGUCAACAUCUACAUGAAGUCAUAUUCAGUAAUUUGUCUGAAAUUGAUUUAAAAGGAACAAAAAUAAAAUGAACUUGUUACUGCUGCUGCAA